AAAAUUAGAGAAGCAUAGAAUAAGAUAGCACAAUGCAACUAAAGAAGUUUUCAUAUUCAUACAAAACCAAAGGUCUGCAAUACAAAACACUUAUCACAUAUUAUAGAGCAACAUACAAUAAUUGAAAGCCGAUUAUAACAAAACUCAUAAUAGGAUACUGAUAAGGAGAAUAUAUUAUUGUUAUUAUUAUUGGCAAGAAGCAACACACAAGGCUGAGUAUUUAAUCAGAAAUUUAAUUACCAAGAAGUGCAAGGAUGAAACGCUUGUAGUCGCCAGAGGUCUCCUUGGACACAGCAUCAUCAAGGGUAACACUGUUUCUCUUGUGAUAAGCCUCCUUUAUCUGCCUCAAGUCUUUCUCAGCCCUCGAUACCACCACUCGGGUUAACGCAUCUUCAUCGCUCUUCCCGACCCUCUUGAUUGCAUUUCGCACCACCUGAAAAUUACCAUUUUUUUCUCAAGGUUUCUUUGCUUGUUUUUGUUUUUGAAAUUUUCUUUCAAGUCAAAAGGGUGUUUUAAGUACAAUUUUUAAAAACCAAAUAAUAAUCAAAGUGACCUAAAUAACUAAACUAAUGCAUAAGUUGUGUGUAUAGAAACAAACUUAAGCAGGAACAUAAGGGUAGUUUGACGGAAGGUACCUUCUCGUAGUACUGGUAAGGGUCAUCGAUGCAUUCAAUGAUAGUUCGCAAUGCUUCUGUGAACUCUUUGCCUGCUUUAUCACUGGACAAUUGCUACAAGAAAGAACCACUUGUUUAGACUUUAAAUAUCAUGUGGUUCAAUUGUUUUAGAGGAAAAGUAAAGUGAUACUAUUUCUAUCUUCCAACAAUAUAGCUCAACUACAAAGCUUUUAGUCUUAAGAUUUCAAGGUAAAUCAAAACUAUCAGAACAUGGUUUAUCGCGCAAUUCAUUUUUCAAUACAUAUAAGCCUUAUGUCAAACUUACAUAUAGAACUCCACUCAUUCUCCAUGAACAUAAUUUUCUUAUGGCAUUGUCAUUUGGAAAAUCAACCAACAUUUAUGGAAUUUUAGUGUUGGGAGGGAAGAGGAGAGGGGGCAGAAAAAGAAAGAACAAAAACAGAGUAGGAACAAAAAUGAUGCCAAAGGGUCAAAAAUAGAAUUGUUAUGAGUUAAGUUGUGUACCUCAGAAAUGGAAAUACCGUAGGCAUCUUUGUAGUGAUUGAAAGUUGCAACCAGCUGUGGCCUACUCCUUGUGGUUAAGAUCCUGACAACAUCUUCAUGAUAGAAGGUUUUGUCUUUGAUUGCACGCUCAAGUCUCUCCGCUUCUGAUUUAGCGAGGCUUAGAUCUACAUCCGCUCCAUUGUAACGGUAUGCACUCACUAAUCCAACCAACAGCUGCAACCAUUUGGUUUCAUCACUAUUUUUGUAACUUCUUAAUUAUCCAACCUAAUGCCAAACCGUGUCUACCUCACAUGUUCAAAACAUAUUCUACUUGAAAUUGUCCAAAUUUUUCAUUUUUCUAUUUGAACAUUUAUUUAUUGUUCUAUUCGAAAAUAAAAGUUUUUCUUUUUUUGAGUUCGAAGAGAAAUUCAUUGAUACAGUGUCUAUAUAUACACUAUUUAUUGUUUAUUGUUAAUUUUUAAAAUACCCCAUACUAUUAAAAUAAAAUAUGUAUAUGAAGUUAAAUAAUUUUUGAAUUAAGAGAUGAACAAAAGGGGUGGGGACUGUGUGGGUUAAGCUUAAGUUACGGACCGUGCGUAAAUCGUCGUUGGUGCUGGCUGCAACAUCUUCCUCUAAGGAACGCUUGUAGCGGUGCUGGUAAGCCCUCCUGACCCCCAAUAGCUCCUCAGGAGAGUAGAUGCAAGAAAGCUCGACCAGCACAGCAAAAUCUUCCUUCGGCUUCCUUAUGGCUAUGUUGGCCAAUACAGCAUCUCUGUCCUCAGGAUCCAGCAUCCAUCGGUACACAGCUCUCUGUUUCACCCACAAACAAAUUAACUCUCGAACUACUGUAACCACCAAAACAAAAAGAAUCGGACCGAAUCGAUCUUCUUGAUGAAACUAUACCAAACAAAAACCUAGAGUUAAUUCUUCUUAUUCUUUUUUUUUUUUUUUUUUUUUUUUUUUUUUUUUUUGCUUUAUUUUUCAGCGAAAAAAUUGUGGCGGACAACCAGGUAAGAGUCAAUCAUCGAUGUGACAGAAACUGAUAUUGAUGAUACCGAUAAUCGACGUUGAGAACACAUCACACAUGUAUGGUGAUGAUAAUAAAGACGAUGGGCCGAUGAACAAGAAAGUAGAAAGAAAAUAAUGACGAUGAUCGACUUUUGAAAAAGACAGAAAAAUGAGCAGGCUUGAACCGUAAAAGCUGGGGCUACUAAGGGUAACGGAUGAAGUCGAUGAACACAAGUAUGAUGCGGACGAUUUAAAAAAAAAAUGAAAAUCAGAACCUCGAAGUGGCCAGAGAUCUCCGAUUCAAGGCGCUUGAUAAGAUCCUCUUGGAAAAGCUGUUCGUAAGCAAUCCUGAUAUGCCUCCUCUGAAUCGCAUUUCUAUGAGCAAGGAUGGAAAUAAUGGCCUUCUCGUCGGAUCCCCAGCCUAUGAAGAAGAGAAAAGAGAUUCAGAACCAUAGCACACAACAAUAGAAGAAAUGGAAAAAUAGGUAAUGAAGGAAAGCAAAUGAGUGAUGAGUAAAUCAAAUGAUAAGGGCUAAGGGAAUGAAUGGAAUGGAUUUGAAUACCUUUGAAAGCGGUUCUGAGAGCUUCGGCGUCAACAUUGGCAGAAGGAACGUCACGAGGAACAAUCAAGGUAGCCAUAGCUUCACCAAUCUUCUUAGAGUUUCUCUUCCAGUUGAGUUGGCAGUACAAAAUGCUUUCUUCCUCACUUGGCGUCUCUCCCGCUAUUUAUACUCCAAUCCGGAUUUUCCUCUUCUUUCGUUGCUGUCUUAAUAAUAAUUCUCAAACUAAAAUAAAGUAAUAAAUAAAUACGUAAAAUGAUUUUUUUAAAAUUUUAACUCACAACUUAAAUAAAUAAAUAAAUACGUAAAAUAAUUAUUAUUUUUUUAUAAUUUCAUUCAAAAUUUAUUAAUAUUAUAAUCAAACAGAUUUUGUGAUCUUUACACAUCUAAUAAAAAAUAGUAGUAGAUCAUUAUUUGCAUAAGAAAUCAUAUGUCAGUGUUUGUGACAUGGCUAAAUCUUUGAUUCUUUUUGGUGUUUGGAAGGUGAGAAAAUUCAGAAUAUGAAUGAAGAAAAAUGACUCAAUGCAUUGUUCUUCCUUGACAUUAACGCCAACCCCACAUGGCUUCUCUUCAUAAUAUAUUGUUCUUUAAUUUGUUGAGCUAAUUUAUUUUUAAUUAUCUAUGUUCUUCGAUCUUCCCAAUGUCUUCUGGAAUUUAUGUUUCCCUGCCCUAAUCUUUAGAUUCAUUAAUAGAAUAAAUAAUAAUAAUAAUAAUAUUCCUUUUUUGAUCUUCUUCACAUGUUGGGUUAAAUUACAUUAUCCUAACAUAUUUUACCAAAAUAUUCAUUUUUUCAUUACUCAAUUGAUAUGAGUUUUUAAUGGUUAUUAGGGUUGAGUUAAGCUCGAUUUAGCGUUUUAUUUGGACUAAUGGGUUGUUUUUAAGGCUCUUUGAAAAAAAUACUCAUAUUUCUAACGAAAAAUUUGCUAUAUUACAGCUUUGAUUUUUUUUUACUAGUUGAAUUUGAAAUAAAUUUACAUGUAAUAUAAAGUCUUCAAGUGAAGACAUUUUAAUAUUCAACUUUGUAUUAAUUUUAAAUUUAAGUUCACGUUAUAUAUAGUUGAACUUAAGAUUUGAUUUUAAAGGGGAAAAAAGAAAUUAAAGUUAACAUUAUAUAUAAAAUUUGAAAAAGAGAAACCAAACCCUUGAAAAUGGUUUUGUUUAAGUUAAUUGUAAUGAUGCCAUUUGUCUGAUUGUGAUAUUAGUCUGUAAAACGUUAUUUGGAGUUUGUGUUUUGGGUAUGAUUUAUUAAUUAGUUGGCAAUUUUGAUUUUUAUGUUAAAGAAUCAAUCAAAAUGGGUUAGGUGUGUUGGUGAUGGCAGCUUUUGAACAAAUUACCAUAUAUGAUCUCUUCUUCCUUUUUUAUGCUUUGUUGUUAUAUACACGUAUUUUAAUUCAUAUGAAAUAAUUAAUAUAUGGCCCCAAACCAACGUUUCCUAUAAAAACUUUAUAUCAUAGGAAACAUUUUCUUAAUUUGAAUGUAUUCAUUAUUGUUUAAUUAAAGAGACUUCAAUUCAUUUUCUUUUCUUGAUUUUUCAUAUCUCUUCUUCCUUAUUGUUGUUGCACAAAAGUCUUCCAAAAUGAAAUAAAUGGGUCCAUGUACAAUAAUAUCAAGGGGCAUAAGGGAUCAAACUUUUCCAUCUUUUGUAUUUCAAUAAACAUUAUUAACUAUGAUUUGUUGGGAGUUUUUGUAAGUGUAGCUUAGAGGUGAAGACACUCCUCAUCUCAAGAGCUAACGUUUAAAGUCUCUAUCAUUAUGUUUAUAAAUGUAAUGCACUAAAAAGAAUAAUUUAAAUUUUGAGUUUACUUUCUAUUUUUAUUUGGGUUAAGUUUUGAGUUUAAAUGCAAUUUAGUCUUAAUUUAGUCUCUUGAUUCAAAGGGUUACAAGUAUAAAUUUAGUCUCAAUCUAGAGUUAAUUUUAAAUAUUGGUUUCAUAAUUAUUUUAGAGUAAUUAUUCAGCGAUGGAUAGAAUAAAAUGUAAAUAUAAGGAUGUAUAGAUGAAAUUGAAAUAAAAUUCAAACAAAUAAAGCGAGAGCAUAAAAAGUACAAUAUAUUCUCUUAAUUUUAUGUUUGAUUGUGUAUGACAACUCGCGCGAGCACACAGAUGUGUAUAAAUCUUCUAAAUGCUACAAUGAAAAAGAUAGGGAGGGGGAAAAGAAAUGUGGGUGAGGUGAACACUUGGGGGGAAGUGCUUUCUGAAAAAGCAUUUCUGCAAAAUUUGUCAGAGCUGCAAUAUAUAAUUAAAAACUACAUAAAGCUUCUUUUUUUUUUAAUUGAAAAAAUCAAUAAAGGACAGAUAGAAUUGCUUGAUUGCUCUGCCCUUCUCCCCUUUUGAAUCACACUCGAAUCAAAUUUGGCGGUGAUAAUUUUGACGGUGACCACAGCAAAAAGACAUUAGAAGGACCCAUUUUUGAAUAAGGAAAUCAUUUCCUGAAUCCACACCUAUGUAUCGGAUAAAUAAAGCAACCAAAAAAGAAUUUGGCUUACAUUUUGCUUUCCUUUCUUUUCAACCAAAGAAAAAACGUUUUACGUAAAUAAAAUUUGAAGCAUUAUUUGAUUGAAAAACCUUUUUUUUUUUUCUCCUCACUUGGAAACACUUAAUCCGAGUGGUUAAAAAUAUUGAUUCUACUUAAAAACACUUUUAUAAAUCAGUUAGAGAAUUAAGGCAAACAGGCCUAUCCAAUGUCACAUUUAUAGAGAAAGGAAAUGGACAUAUAAUCAAAUAAUGGCAGAGAGAUAGAGGUGAAUGAAAACAGAGGGAAAACAGGGGGUCUCAACAACAGAGAUAAAGAACAACACACAACUUAGUUAAUAUAAAUAUGUCCUCAUUACAAAACCAAGCAUUCUUCAACAAACACAAGUCUCAAGAGCACAAAACAGCUUAUUAUUUAAUAAACCAACUACUUACAAGCCGAUUAAAACACUCAUACGUAAUAUAUAUUAUUGUGGGUUCAGAAGCAGUGCUUUUACUCAGUUUGGUUACCAAGAAGAGCAAGGAUGAAGCGCUCAUAGUCGCCAGAGGUCUCCUUCUUCACAGCAUCAUCAAGGGUAACACUGUUUCUCUUGUGAUAAGCCUCCUUUAUUUGCCUCAAGUCUUUCUCCGCCCUUGUCACCACCACGCGAGUCAAUGCAUCCUCAUCGCUCUUCCCAACCUUCUUGAUUGCAUUUCGCACUACCUGUUUGUAAUCAUUUUUCCAAAAGAAUAUUAAUCAUCUCCGUAUCGUUCGAACUAUUGAUCUCAGCUUCUUUUAAAAUAGAGUUAAAGAAAUCAAGAUGGAAAGCUUUUUCAGAUCUUCAGUGAGAUUUCAAUGCAGGCAUUGGAAUGGAGAAUCACAUCAAAAUACGGACAAGAAUCAAGUACAUAAUCUACUUUGAUAAGAGUUUCAAAUCAUCACCUUCUCGUAGUAUUUUACAGGGUCAUUGAUGCACCGAAUCACAGUUUUAAGUGCUUCUGUGAACUCAUUGGCAUCACGAUCUUGGCCCAAUUGCUGCAACAGAGAAAAAAAAAGGAUAACAGCUUAAAGCUCAAACACAAUCCAGCUCCAAAGAUAUUCUGCUGUAAACUCUCUAGCUAAACUAAUAAGCAAUGUGGUGAACUAUCCAAUAGUAACUUUAUCCUCAGCUUUAUACCUUAGAAAUAGAAAUACCAUUGGCAUCUUUGUAGUGAUUGAAAGUUGCAAUCAGCUGUGCCUUACUCCUUGUGGUUAGGAUCCUUAUAACAUCUUCAUGAUUGAAGGCUUUGUCUUUAACUGCACGCUCAAGUAUCUCAGCUUCUGAUUUGGCUAAUUUUGCAUCUAUCUCUCCACCGUUGUAACGAUAUGCACUCACCAACCCCACCAACAGCUGCAAUCAUUAGGCAUAAACCAUCAAUCAACAAUUCACAAAACCUAUCAUCUUCAUUCUUGAGUUUAAGUUUGUUCAUGUAAUUCUAUUUACCUUGAUAUUCCCUUAACUAAUGUAUCAUUAACUCUUAGUCUUGUGUCAGUAGAAUAUCUGUAUUCAAGUUCCAUCACUUCAUUUUGGCCUCUUACAGUUUCAAAUUCCCCCAAUACAUCAAACCUCUUAACUUUUUUUUUUUUUAAUUUGUUUAUUUCAUAUCAUUUACUGGGUUUAGCCAUGAUUACAAUUUCUUAUCAGUUCAGAACGCGGGAUAGAAUCCAUAUAUUAAAUGGGAAGGAAUAUCCUCUCUCUUGGAGUACUGUUUCAGCUUAAAUCAUCGAACUCAGACAUGAUUGGUAAAAUAAAUUAAUAAGAUGAGAAGUUCUUUGUUCUUUAAAAUAACUAUAGCGAUCUCAAUCCCCAAAUGAAAAGUUGAUCUACAGCCCCAAGUUCAUCGAUCCAAGUUCAGAUGAUUAAGGAAAUCGUGAUCAAUGGGAAAUCGAAUAAAUAAUAUGGAUAAGGGAAAAGUUACGGACCUUGCGAAAAUCAUCGUGAGUGUUGGCGGCAACAUCUUCCUCUAAUGAUCGCUUGUACCGGUGUUGAUACGCUCUUCUGACUCCCAAGAACUCUUCAGGAGAGUAAAUGCAAGAAAAUUCAACAAGUACUGCAAAAUCUUCAUUGGGCUUCCUUAAGGCGACGUGAGCCAACACAGCGUCUCUGUCCUCUGGAUCUAGUAUCCAUCGGUAUACAGCUCUCUGUUUCAACAACAAACAAUCAAACUCUCAUAUUCUAUAAAAAAAAUCGUAUAAACAAGAAAAUCGGCCGAUCUUCAUAUAGAAAAGGGCAGAGAAUCCAAUAGUUUCGAUGAUCGCGAACAAGAGAGCAGUAAGUGAGACCGAUGAAAAAGACGACGAUCUAUAAAGA
rnacentral:lncRNA from 1 species